GACAGAGGUGCCAAGCGUUAGGCGGAAUCACUGGGCUUAAAGCGUGUGUAGGCGGAUGUCUAAGAACCUUGUGAAAUCCCACGGCUCAACCGUGGAACUGCUGGGUAUACUGGAUGUCUUGAGCCACUUAGGGGCGACCGGAACAAAUGGUGGAGCGGUGAAAUGCGUAGAUAUCAUUUGGAACGCCAAUGGUGAAAACAGGUCGCUGGGAGUGUGCUGACGCUGAGACACGAAAGCCAGGGGAGCGAACGGG
rnacentral:rRNA from 1 species